rnacentral:lncRNA from 1 species
GGGGUGGGGGCAUGCGUCGGCGGGCCAGCCUGGCUUCCGGGAACCGAUGAGGAAGACCGGGAGGAGCGCGGUGGGGGCGCCCGCUAACCUUUCCCUCGGUGUCGGUUGCUGUUCCAGGCCGGCGCGGUGAACAAGCAGGGCGACAGCAUUCUCUGCCGCUGAGCCGCGCGUCGCAGGUGUGCGGCCGCCUGAGCCCGAGCCAGGAGCCCUAGAGAGGGAGGGGGAGAGAGCAGAAGUUAGAGAAAAAGCCAACCGGAGGAAGGAAAAAUGCAACAAAAAGAUCAGCAAAUCUUAGAAACGUUUCAUUCGUCAUUCCAAGAGAGAGGGAAGAAAAAUAAAACUUUUCAUCUUUGUUAAAUUUUUUUUGCACGUUCAUAAACAUUCUACACACGUAUUCUCUUUUGUCCCAUUUAUAACCGCUGUGAAUUGUACAUUUUUUGUGUUUUUUGGAGGUGCAGUUAAACUUUUAAGCUUAAGUGUGACAGGACUGAUAAAUAGAAGAAUCAAGAGUAAAUCCGACUGUUAGAAACCGACUUUGUGACCAAGGAGCUCAAUUUUUGUUUUGAAGCUUUACUAAUAUACCAGAGCAUUGUAGAUAUUUUUCUUUUUUUUGACAUCUAUUGUUUAAAAUAGAUGUUUAUACGGAGGCAGGGAACUUUGUGUUCCCUGCAAGAAUGUUACAUAUUGUAUAGAUAACUGAGUGACAUUU